AGGAUAAACGCUGGCGGCGUGCCUAACACAUGCAAGUCGAACGUCUCUUCUUUCGGGAAGAGGAGUGGCGGACGGGUGAGGAACACGUGGGAACCUGCCCUUUAGUGAGGAAUACCGGCGAGAAAUCGCCGACAAGACCGCAUAGCCCUCUUUGAUGAGAGUCAAAGAAGGAAAGCUUCGCAAGAGGCGCUAGAGGAGGGGCCUGCGUCCGAUUAGCUAGUUGGUGGGGUAAGAGCCUACCAAGGCGUCGAUCGGUAGCUGGUCUGAGAGGACGAUCAGCCACACUGGGAUUGAGAACGGCCCAGACUCCUACGGGGGGCAGCAGUGAGGAAUUUUCGGCAAUGGGGGAAACCCUGACCGAGCAACGCCGCGUGCAGGAAGACGGCCUUCGGGUUGUAAACUGCUUUUCUUUGGGACGAGGAAGGACGGUACCAGAGGAAUCAGCCCCGGCUCACUACGUGCCAGCAGCCGC
rnacentral:rRNA from 1 species